GACGAACGCUGGCGGCGUGCUUAACACAUGCAAGUCGAGCGGUAAGGCCCUUUCGGGGGUACACGAGCGGCGAACGGGUGAGUAACACGUGGGUGACCUGCCCUCAGCUCUGGGAUAAGCCUGGGAAACCGGGUCUAAUACUGGAUAUGACUCCAUGACGCAUGUUGUGGGGUGGAAAGCCUUGUGCGGCUGAGGAUGGGCCCGCGGCCUAUCAGCUUGUUGGUGGGGUGANGGCCUACCAAGGCGACGACGGGUAGCCGGCCUGAGAGGGCGACCAGCCACACUGGGACUGAGACACGGCCCAGACUCCUACGGGAGGCAGCAGUGGGGAAUCUUGCGCAAUGGGCGAAAGCCUGACGCAGCGACACCGCGUGGGGAUGAAGGCCUUUCAGGUCGUAAACCCCUUUCGGCAGGGACGAAGCGAUCACUCGUGACGGUACCUGCAGAAGAAGCC
rnacentral:rRNA from 1 species